rnacentral:RNase_P_RNA from 1 species
UGGGCUGGUCGGAUGAUCGCGGUACAUUUUGUAUCGAGGAAAGUCCGCACUUCAUCGAGCAAGAAGCCGGGUAACACCCGGAGCGGGAAAGCCAUUUCGGAAGACCUGCUGGAUCGGGCCACAGAAACAAACUACCUGAAAAGGUAAAGGUGAAAUGGUAGUGUAAGAGACUACCGGCGAUUACAGUAAUGUAUCGGCCAGGCAACCCCCUUCUGAAGCAAGGCCAAGCAGAAACAAAUCUCAUUUGAGAGGGAGGUUGCUCAUCUCCUUUGAGUUUCGGGUAGGCUGCUAGAAUUAAUUGGUAACAAUUAAUCGAGAUAGAUGAUCAUCCAUUUACUGGAUGUCCAAUUGGAAACACCAGUAAUAGACAGAAUGCGGCUUAUAGACCAGUCCAAUCU